GGGAUAUAGAAUUUCAUGUCGUGCAAUAGUGUAAAGUUUGGACGGUAUUAAUGUUCAAAUCGUAUUUGUCUCAGUUUUACUUUAUUCACUUUUUUCUCUUUACAUUUUUUUUACUAGUUUAAUUUUUGUAUUUUAUAGUUUUAUUUUUUUACCAAAAAUUCUUUUGCAUAAAAUUCAUACAAAUUUUUUCAUACACCUGAAACAUGAAGGUACCUGCAUUGCUGUUCAGACUUGAAGGAAUGGUUCUUUUUAAGGGUACUACAACGAAGGAUCCGAUGCCUCAGAGGAGCAGUCGUUAUCGUACGAUAGCGGGGAGGACUAUUACGAUGGUUCAGCGUCCCGUGAGGGACCGCACCAUCAAGGUGGGCGUGGUUUUUGGGAUGUUGUGAAAGAUGUUGGGAAAAAAGCUCUGCAUGAGGCAAAGAAUGCCGACUACAAGAAAAUGGCCAAGGACAACUAUCAGGCUGGCAAGGAUGCGAAAGAAUUUUACGAUAAUGCGUAAAAAAUAAGUUACUUUUCUGAAAUAAAUGAUUAGAAUAUUGAUUUUACUGUACCACAUUUGUACUUAAUCAAGGA